CUCCAGCAGCACCCUUUGAUCCAGCUGAUGGAGCAGAAUGAGGCCUGCAGCAGUGCUGGAAAAUGAAGAGGACCUGAGUUUGAGCCUUGGGGGAUUCCGGAUAGAUGAGAGAGACAGAAAACUGGAAGGAGAUGGAGGCCAGCCUUGAACCAUAACGGCUCUUCAUUGGUUCAAAUGUACAAGUGACAGUGCCGCUGUUUUGGCUCUCUUGGAUGAAUGGGGAUGGG
ensembl:lncRNA